AAAAUUUACGAAAAUGGUCCAUUUUUGAGUUAACUUUAAACCACUAUAGAUUGAAAACUCAUGAAUAUAUUUUUUAAAUUAUUAUUUUAAAUAAUUAACAAUAGUCCAUUGUUUACGAUUCAAUAGUUCGUACAGUGAAAUAGUUGCAUGGGGGAGUGGGGGGGAGCAUUCAAAGAUGGCGAGUAUAUUUUCAAGUUUAUGCCAGAAAUAAAGGCCUAAUACAAAAAUAUCGGUGUCAGGGCUUGGAAUAAUUAUCUCUGCACUGUCGUUGUGUUUGACAGAAUGAAAAAUAUGGCAGAACAUUCUUGAAUCAGCCUCUUAACCCGUGUAGCGUCCUACGCACAGCGGUUGUAGCGUAACUCAAAUUGUACUGAGAGCGUCCUGCGCUGACAAACGCUGUGCGUAACGCGGCCCGUGAUAUUGAAGGUCAUCAGUAGAGACGUACAAGUGAAUGUUUCCAGUAUAAAAAAUAUUUCUCUAUGCCUUAAACAUUUAUAAUUCAAAUCGACACGACUCCGAGACAGGAAAUACAGACUAAAACCGUAGACAGAGUAACUAAUAGACCCAAUGACGAUACCUUUCUCACUUACACAAGAAAGAGAGCGAAAAUACCAUAACAAAUGCAUAAGACAAAGACACAAAUACCCAAUUUUUUGUCCCUUAGUGUGUAACCUGUUUUUCAAGAUCCGCAACUUGAGUUGCGAAACAAACUUUGACAGUUCGUGCCUUCAUCGUGCUUGGUGUUCGAAUUUUGGAUAUUAUUUAGUAAAAAAUCGAUACGAGUACAUUGAAAAGACGGUGAAAUUAUCUUAAUAUAGACAUCGAAGUAAAUAGAAUGGUGCGUUGUCGUGUUAUUGCAUGUAUAAGCGAUAGUGAGAAGAAAAUUGCCGGUGUGUCUUUUCACGCAUGAUCCAGACCUACGUAAUUAAUGGAUCGAAGUGGUAGAAAAGAUUGGAUUCUCACAAUAUAUUGUAAAAUAUGAACAAGCCAAUGAAAAAGUAAGAAAUGUGUUUCGUCAUCAAUAAUCAAUCUGCUUAUAUUUUUUGUAUCUACUAAAUUGAUUAUAAAGACAAAAGAAAAAUCUCA